GAUGUUAGAUGGUCAGUUGUGCUUACUCCACCACAAAGAGACUUUGAAGAUAGAUAUAACAACGAUGAACUUGGUGAUACAAUACUACAGUGUGAAGGAAUACCCAAUGGUAUGCCAGAUGUUGACUUAAAUAAUGACUUGGAUGACAACAUCUUAACAUACGUACGAGCAGAUUGUGAAGGCACAUGGAUACCUACAUAAUAUUAUAAGCCUUUGAUUCAUACAUCACAUGGAUAACUUUAGUGAUGAAGAAGCUGGUGUUGAAAAUGAAACCCCAAAGCAGAUAUGUAGACCACGAGGACCAACUAUUAUGUUCGAUGUCACUCGCAUUAGAAGUUUGGGAGAGAAGAAGGUGGUGAUGUACAAUGAAGACGGAGUACCCAUUGGUGAGAAUGGAGCAAAGUUGAAGUCUUUCAUAGGAUCUGCGACACAUUAUCAUGUCCCGAUCACAUAUUCAUCGUGGAAAAGUGUGCCGGUAGAGCUGAAAGAUAAAAUAUUCAGUACGGUUGAGGCCGCAUUCGUCAUUGAUCCAAGAUCUAGG